rnacentral:rRNA from 1 species
GGAAGUAAAAGUCGUAACAAGGUUUCCGUAGGUGAACCUGCGGAAGGAUCAUUAACGAUUGCUAUGGAUGAACGCGUGCUCACUUGUUUGAGCGCGCAGGCUGGCUGUGACAACAUCCGAAGGUUCACAGAAUCGGUUGUUGGUGGUGGUUCAAGAUCGGAUGAUGGUGGUGCAUGGCUCAGGAGCUCGUGGUCGCGGUGWAUGCGCUUGAGAGCAAUCUCAUGCUACACUGCCGCGGACGAGUUAAAACAAACACCAUAUGGACUUAUUUUACUGAUCUCUCGCCAUGGUAUACAGGCCUGGCAUCUGGUACGAGACCGUGUCUCAAAACCAACUUACAACUCUGAGCGGUGGAUCACUUGGCUUGUGGAUGCUAUGAAGACCAUAGCUAAGUGUGUGAAUGGCAGCGAGCCGUCGCUAUAUGCGCUGUCCUCUUCUCAUCACAUGUCGAAUGCAUAUUGCGCCCCACCCAGUGGUCGGCUUACMUCCURCAGACAAAAGCCUGUGUGUUGGAACAAAGGCAAAUGUGUGGCCCUCGAGCAACGGCGGGGGAGCCAGGAGCACAUGCGCGUGCGGUCCACUCACUCGUGAGUAGUCAGGCUGAACCYUAUGGUGGGGCACUCCUAGUCUGAGUGUGGUGGUUCGGGCUCUUGUCUCUUUMAAUGGUGAUUGAGCUGGAGUUUCUUUGUUGCCUGGGAGCAAUUUGGGUCGACAUCAGUCGUGCCUGUUAAUACCUGCCUUGGCUCGUGCCUCUGGCGCAUGUUACGGCAUGCGUUCAUUGAAGGCCAUAGCUGGCGAUCACUCUUGCGGCCAGGGCACYUUCGGGUGCGCAGCGGUCCAAAAGGUUCUGUCAUWCGAGAUUAAAUCGGARUUYCUAAGACCUAAAGACCUCGCUUUCAUGUGCUWGAUGCUUGGCAUGUUGGACUUAGCUAGUCUCUGGAUGGACGGUGCCGUCGGUCGACACUCGUUCUACUUCUUUCGUUCACACAAUGCGUGUGCUUCGAGGGUAACGGAACUAGCGGGUGCCCUUCAUGWACCAGGUCUAGCCYUGUGCGAGGCAGGGAAAGGUCAAACUGGCUAUGYUCGUAUGACGUUUGUGCCACCACCUCGACUUAGGAGAGAUUACCCGCUGAACUUAAGCAUAUCAGUAAGCGGAGGAAAAGAAACCAAAAGGGAUUCCCUUAGUAGGGGCGACCGAAAAGGGAUGAGCCCAGCGCAGAACCUCCCGGGCCACCCGGCCUGCGGCGGAAUGUUGCGUUAAGGGAAAGGUCGUAGUCAGACCCCACAGCCACGCGAUCGCUAAGUAAGCAACGAGUUUGCUGUCCCAACUAACGGCGGGAGCAUCUCCACGGAGGGUGUAAGACCCGUGUGGGCGCGUGUAAGUGCUGUGCGGCUCGGCCUCUUUUCCCUGAGAGUCGCGUUGCUUGAUCAUGCAGCGCUAAGCAGGUCGUAAACUCGAUCUAAGGCUAAAUAUUUCCACAAGACCGAUAGUGAACAAGUACCGUGAGGGAAAGUUGAAAAGCACUCUGAAGAGAGAGUCAAAAGACCGUGAAACCGCUCAGAGU